rnacentral:misc_RNA from 1 species
GUCAUUUUUACGUGUCAUACAUAGCAUACAGAAGAAAGAAUCCUUACUGUUUUAAUCUAAAGUACAUGCAUAAGAGGAAGAGGAGGGUCCCAAACAUAUCAAUAUAUCUAGGUUAUGUAUUUGAAAGCCCAUUAAUUACCAUAUUCCCUUAUAUGUAUUUUUAUUAAGUCCAAUUACAUGUGAAAAGUCCAUUUGAAGACAUUCAAAAUAAUCAAAAUAAAAUU